GAUGAAGAACGUAGCGAAAUGCGAUAAGUAGUGUGAAUUGCAGAAUUCAGUGAAUCAUCGAAUCUUUGAACGCGCAUUGCGCCCCUUGGUAUCCCGAGGGGCAUGCCUGUUCGAGCGUCAUUUCACCACUCAAGCCUGGCUUGGUGUUGGGCGACGUCCUCUUUGGGGACGCGCCUCGAAACGCUCGGCGGCGUGGCACCGGCUUUAAGCGUAGCAGAAUCUUUCGCUUUGGAAGUCGGGGCCCCGCCUGCCGGAAUACCUACUUGUAAGGUUGACCUCGGAUCAGGCAGGGAUACCCGCUGAACUUAAGCAUAUCAAUAAGCGGAGGA
rnacentral:misc_RNA from 1 species